rnacentral:rRNA from 1 species
AUUGAACGCUGGCGGCAGGCCUAACACAUGCAAGUCGAGCGGAGCGGCGGACGGGUGAUUAAUGCUUAGGACUCUGCCUGGUAGUGGGGGAUAACGUCCGGAAACGGGCGCUAAUACCGCAUACUAUCAGAUGAGCCUAGGUCGGAUUAGCUCGUUGGUUGGGUAAAGGCCUACAACGGCGACGAUCCGUAACUGGUCUUAGAGGAUGAUCAAUCACACUGGAACUGAGACACGGUCCAGACUCCUACGGGAGGCAGCAGUGGGGAAGAUUGGACAAUGGGCGAAAGCCUGAUGCAGCCAUGCCGCGUGUGUGAAGAAGGUCUUCGGAUUGUAAAGCACUUUAAGUUGGGAGGCGUUACCAACAGAAUAAGCACCGGCUAACUUCGUGCCAGCAGCCGCGGUAAUUC